rnacentral:rRNA from 1 species
UACGUAGGUGGCAAGCGUUGUCCGGAUUUACUGGGCGUAAAGAGCGCGCAGGCGGUCGAAUAAGUCGAAUGUGAAAGCCCCCGGCUCAACUGGGGAGGGUCACGCGAUACUGAUCGACUCGAAGGCAGGAGAGGGAAGUGGAAUUCCCGGUGUAGUGGUGAAAUGCGUAGAUAUCGGGAGGAACACCAGUGGCGAAGGCGACUUCCUGGCCUGUUCUUGACGCUGAGGCGCGAAAGCUAGGGGAGCAAACGGG